rnacentral:rRNA from 1 species
GAUGAACGCUGGCGGCGUGCCUAAUACAUGCAAGUCGAGCGAACAGAUGAGGAGCUUGCUCCUCUGACGUUAGCGGCGGACGGGUGAGUAACACGUGGAUAACCUACCUAUAAGACUGGGAUAACUUCGGGAAACCGGAGCUAAUACCGGAUAAUAUAUUGAACCGCAUGGUUCAAUAGUGAAAGACGGUUUUGCUGUCACUUAUAGAUGGAUCCGCGCCGCAUUAGCUAGUUGGUAAGGUAACGGCUUACCAAGGCAACGAUGCGUAGCCGACCUGAGAGGGUGAUCGGCCACACUGGAACUGAGACACGGUCCAGACUCCUACGGGAGGCAGCAGUAGGGAAUCUUCCGCAAUGGGCGACAGCCUGACGGAGCAACGCCGCGUGAGUGAUGAAGGUCUUCGGAUCGUAAAACUCUGUUAUUAGGGAAGAACAAAUGUGUAAGUAACUAUGCACGUCUUGACGGUACCUAAUCAGAAAGCCACGGCUAACUACGUG